CUUGUACUCCCUUUGUUCGGAAUUACUUGUCGCAGAAAUGGAUGUAUCUACUUGUCUAGGAAAUGGAUGUAUCUAGAACUAAAAUACAUCUAGUUACAUCCAUUUCUGCGACAAGUAAUUCCGAAUGGAGGGAGUACUAG
rnacentral:pre_miRNA from 1 species